rnacentral:rRNA from 1 species
UACGUAGGCAGCGAGCGUUGUUCGGAGUUACUGGGCGUAAAGGGUGUGUAGGCGGUUGUUUAAGUUUGGUGUGAAAUCUCCCGGCUCAACCGGGAGGGUGCGCCGAAUACUGAAUGACUAGAGUGCGGGAGAGGUGAGUGGAAUUCCUGGUGUAGCGGUGAAAUGCGUAGAUAUCAGGAGGAACACCGGUGGCGAAGGCGGCAUCCUGGACCAACACUGACACUGAGGAGCGAAAGCCAGGGGAGCGAACAGG